rnacentral:lncRNA from 1 species
GUAUCAUAUUUAGAUCCUAGUGUAUGAUUAAUUAGUAUUAAUUAAUAAGAUUAAUUAAUAAUUUUACUGUAAAAUAGUAAUUUUGAAAAAGUUUUAAAAUUAUAAUUUUGCCCCUGCACUAAAUUUUCGCUUCACAUAUCACAUACAUAUAUAUAAUUGAGAUACACUUAUCCAAAUCUCUUCCCACAUAUAGUCCUUGACAUCGGGAUCCAUCAAUCACC